GUUCACUUCCGGGUUUGCUGCCGAGUGCACUGGGGAGGCCUCCGCACUUCUGUGAGACACUCAUGCACCUCAGCAUCGCAGCAUUCACAAGCCAUGCCUGGUACCUAAAGAUAAACUGAAGACACUCCCAGGCACCAGGGACUUGCAAGAAGCCGGUGCUGAGGUCUCGCCUGGGCAUCUGGCUUCACAGAACUGUGGCUGGGGUGUCCACUCAGACUCUGAUGGGAGAAUCAAGCUCUCUGCCCACCUCAGGUGGGCUGGAAUUCACUCCAAGGCAGAGAGUCUAUCCUGCAGUCUCCUACAGGGGUCAGCUUCACUGAUGGAACCCAAUCUUCUUGAUACAGUGCUCCUUCAGUUCUCAUGGACUUCACCCAUCUUGAGGAUGUCCAGCACCACACAGGAUCAGGACCACGUGCAAUGUCCCCAGAAUUGUAGCAUUUACCCUUUCUUGCCCAUAAACCCUUCCAGUUUGUCAGGAAAGGAUGGUUAGGGCUUAAUUAAGUUCUAAUUGGAUACAUACUGAGCAAACGCAAUUGCAGGCACAAGAGAGAUGAUAAUUUAUAGAGAAAAUCUGCUGCUUAUGAUGAAAACACUCCCUUCAUGGGAAGCAGGAAAGAGGUUUGGAAUCCAGCCCAGAUAGCAUCAACUAGAAUUAAAGGAGCUACUCUCCUAGCUAAGAACAGUAGUAGGUUCUUAUCCUAUAGGUGAGGCAUUCAUUAUAAGCACAGAUGCACACACAGUGUUACGCCUCAGCUCUGUAUUCUUGGGCAACCCUGGCACAGGAUGCAGUCUGUCUGACUCACAAAGGACUCACCCCCCCCCCCCACAUAAACGAAACUGAUUAAGAUGCAGUGAGAGACGCACCUAAAACUCUCCAGAUAAGGGUGAUAAGAGUGAAACAACUGCCCUAGGUCUCAUUUGCAUCUGAGAUGGAACCAGAUGACCAUUCAUUUACAUGAGAGAUGGAAAACAGAAAGCCUGAAGCAGAGACUGCAGUGAAUUCUGGGACUAGAGAAGCAGGAGAGCGCUGCAUGAUGGGGAAUCUGUGCUUCCAAUGUUAAUUAACCCAUGUUCACACACACCCAGCUCAGCAUUUAUCAGACCAGUUCUAAUCUGGAUUUGCUAAGGACUUUUCUCCCCCCAGACACACACACACAGCUCUAAGUUUAAUAGGCAUCUCGGGCCGUACAUUCCCCGGUCCCACUAUGGGAGGUCUAUUUAAACUUGAUUGACUAAAACUCGGUUGCCGGGUUAGGGAAUGCUGAGGCAAGAGACCGAGUCCAAGGGGGUACGGGCAACAUUUGAACAAUGGUUAAGGGUUCAUCACAGCAUCCAGCCUGCUGGAGCCCUAAUCCCAGGUGUUGUCGUAUCUUUCCCGAGACGACUGGUGGGAGUCCUCUCCACAAAAGGUUAUGAGCACCCCAAUAAUUGCUUUAAGUCUGUUAAAAGACUAUAGUAAAAUCUGGAAAAGUCAUGCUAAGCUCAGGCUUGUGCACAACAAGUAAAAAUCCAAAAUCCUGAUGCUGCAAGCUAUCUAUUGUUCCUGAAGAAACCAUGAGAUAUCCCAUCAGGAUAUCUGCCAUCCAUAGGAAUCUCAAGCUGACUCCCAAGUAUUUGGGUUACUCCCUAAUCUUAAGUGUUUCCUGAUUAUCAAUCAGUUUCCUGAGAUGGUCCAAACCAGAUAACCCCUUGUCAAUAGAAAAGACAAUGAUUUACACUACUGAGGGUGCUUCAAAGCAGCUGAACUGAGGGUAUAAAAAUCUGUUAAGUGUGUGUGCUUAAAAAAAAGAAGAGAAGAAAGAAAGAAGAAGAAGAAAACUCCUGUGCUGACACCAUCCCCUGUCGUUCUUGGGACGCUGGAAGAACAGAUCGUCUCUCUCUUCAAGGAUUGUGCUACGGACUGUGCCUGUCAGCUUUGCAGCCUGGGUACCGUGGACUCGGUGAGAUUCCCAACGUUCUCUCUUCUUUCUAGGCAUAAACUUCUGAACCUGAACUAUAUCAGUUAAGCUUGAGCUAAGUUUCCCCAAAUACUUAGUGAAACCAGGGUAGUAUUAUCAUUGUUUGUGUUUGUUUUUCUUUUGCAUGUCUAUUACUACUAGUACUAUUAUAUAUUUCAUAUGCUUAGCAAUAAAUAACUUUUAUAGGCAAACUGGUAGUAAUUGGGUAUAUUUUUCCUUCUCUGCUUCUUUUUCCUCCUGUGCUCUGCAGCAACGCUUCUUUUACCUAUGCUAAAGAUCCCUGUGAAGCCUAAAUUAUUGUGGGGUCUGCUCAUCAAGAGGCCAAGAUUGGGACGUGCUGAGUUUGAAACACA